rnacentral:rRNA from 1 species
AUACGUAGGGGGCGAGCGUUGUCCGGAAUGAUUGGGCGUAAAGGGCGCGUAGGCGGCGCGGUAAGUCUGGAGUGAAAGUCCUGCUUUCAAGGUGGGAAUUGCUUUGGAUACUGCCGCGCUUGAGUGCAGGAGAGGUUAUCGGAAUUCCCGGUGUAGCGGUGAAACGCGUAGAGAUCGGGAGGAACACCAGUGGCGAAGGCGGGUAACUGGACUGCAACUGACGCUGAGGCGCGAAAGUGUGGGGAGCAAACAGGAUUAGAUACCCUGGUAGUCCACACUGUAAACGAUGAAUGCUAGGUGUAAGAGGUAUCGACCCCUUUUGUGCCGGAGUCAACACAAUAAGCAUUCCGCCUGGGGAGUACGGCCGCAAGGUUGAAACUCAAAGGAAUUGACGGGG